UACGUAGGUGGCAAGCGUUGUCCGGAAUUAUUGGGCGUAAAGCGCGCGCAGGCGGUCCUUUAAGUCUGAUGUGAAAGCCCACGGCUCAACCGUGGAGGGUCAUUGGAAACUGGGGGACUUGAGUACAGAAGAGGAAAGCGGAAUUCCACGUGUAGCGGUGAAAUGCGUAGAGAUGUGGAGGAACACCAGUGGCGAAGGCGGCUUUCUGGUCUGUAACUGACGCUGAGGCACGAAAGUGUGGGGAUCAAACAGG
rnacentral:rRNA from 1 species